rnacentral:rRNA from 1 species
ACGAACGCUGGCGGCACGCUUAACACAUGCAAGUCGAACGAGAGAAGAGAAGCUUGCUUUUCUGAUCUAGUGGCGGACGGGUGAGUAACACGUGAGCAAUCUGCCUUUCAGAGGGGGAUACCGAUUGGAAACGAUCGUUAAUACCGCAUAACAUAAUUGAACCGCAUGAUUUGAUUAUCAAAGAUUUAUCGCUGAAAGAUGAGCUCGCGUCUGAUUAGCUAGUUGGUAAGGUAACGGCUUACCAAGGCGACGAUCAGUAGCCGGACUGAGAGGUUGAUCGGCCACAUUGGGACUGAGACACGGCCCAGACUCCUACGGGAGGCAGCAGUGGGGAAUAUUGCACAAUGGAGGAAACUCUGAUGCAGCGAUGCCGCGUGAGGGAAGAAGGUUUUAGGAUUGUAAACCUCUGUCUUCAGGGACGAAAAAAUACGGUACCUGAGGAGGAAGCUCCGGCUAACUACGUGCCAGCAGCCGCGGUAAUACGUAGGGAGCGAGCGUUGUCCGGAAUUACUGGGUGUAAAGGGAGCGUAGGCGGGAUCGCAAGUCAGAUGUGAAAACUAUGGGCUUAACCCAUAAACUGCAUUUGAAACUGUGGUUCUUGAGUGAAGUAGAGGUAAGCGGAAUUCCUAGUGUAGCGGUGAAAUGCGUAGAUAUUAGGAGGAACAUCAGUGGCGAAGGCGGCUUACUGGGCUUUAACUGACGCUGAGGCUCGAAAGCGUGGGGAGCAAACAGGAUUAGAUACCCUGGUAGUCCACGCCGUAAACGAUGAUUACUAGGUGUGGGGGGACUGACCCCUUCCGUGCCGCAGCAAACGCAAUAAGUAAUCCACCUGGGGAGUACGACCGCAAGGUUGAAACUCAAAGGAAUUGACGGGGGCCCGCACAAGCAGUGGAGUAUGUGGAUUAAUUCGAAGCAACGCGAAGAACCUUACCAGGUCUUGACAUCGUAUGCAUAGCUCAGAGAUGAGUGAAAUCUCUUCGGAGACAUAUAGACAGGUGGUGCAUGGUUGUCGUCAGCUCGUGUCGUGAGAUGUUGGGUUAAGUCCCGCAACGAGCGCAACCCUUACUGUUAGUUGCUACGCAAGAGCACUCUAGCAGGACUGCCGUUGACAAAACGGAGGAAGGUGGGGAUGACGUCAAAUCAUCAUGCCCCUUAUGACCUGGGCCUCACACGUACUACAAUGGCUGUCAACAGAGGGAUGCAAAGCCGCGAGGUGGAGCGAACCCCUAAAAGCAGUCUUAGUUCGGAUUGUAGGCUGCAACCCGCCUACAUGAAGUCGGAAUUGCUAGUAAUCGCAGAUCAGCAUGCUGCGGUGAAUACGUUCCCGGGCCUUGUACACACCGCCCGUCACGCCAUGGGAGUCGGUAACACCCGAAGCCUGUAGUCUAACCGCAAGGAGGACGCAGUCGAAGGUGGGAUUGAUGACUGGGGUG